ACGGGACCCGCACAAGCGUGGAUGAUGUGGAUUAAUUCGAUGCAACGCGAAAACCUUACCUACCCUUGACAUGUCCGGAAUCCCGAAGAGAUUUGGGAGUGCUCGCAAGAGAGCCGGAACACAGGUGCUGCAUGGCUGUCGUCAGCUCGUGUCGUGAGAUGUUGGGUUAAGUCCCGCAACGAGCGCAACCCUUGUCAUUAGUUGCCAUCAUUUGGUUGGGCACUCUAAUGAGACUGCCGGUGACAAACCGGAGGAAGGUGGGGAUGACGUCAAGUCCUCAUGGCCCUUAUGGGUAGGGCUUCACACGUCAUACAAUGGUCGGUACAGAGGGUUGCCAACCCGCGAGGGGGAGCUAAUCCCACAAAGCCGAUCGUAGUCCGGAUCGCAGUCUGCAACUCGACUGCGUGAAGUCGGAAUCGCUAGUAAUCGUGGAUCAGCAUGUCACGGUGAAUACGUUCCCGGGUCUU
rnacentral:rRNA from 1 species